rnacentral:rRNA from 1 species
AAACCGACAGGGAUUGCCUUAGUAACGGCGAGUGAAGCGGCAAAAGCUCAAAUUUGAAAGCUAGCACCUUCGGUGUUCGCGUUGUAAUUUGAAGAUAGUUUCCUUGAGUAGUCCUUUAUCUAUGUUCCUUGGAACAGGACGUCAUAGAGGGUGAGAACCCCGUAUGAUUUUGGAUACUACUCUUUGUGGGGUUCUAUCGAAGAGUCGAGUUGUUUGGGAAUGCAGCUCUAAGUGGGUGGUAAAUUCCAUCUAAAGCUAAAUAUUGGCGAGAGACCGAUAGCGAACAAGUACAGUGAUGGAAAGAUGAAAAGAACUCUGAAGAGAGAGUGAAAAAGUACGUGAAAUUGCUGAAAGGGAAGGGCUUGAGGUCAGACUUGGUGUUUAAUGAUUAUCAGUUCUUCUUGGACUGUGCACUCGUUUUUCACCGGGCCAAUAUCAGUUUUAGCGGUAGAGUACCCCUUGAAAUGUGGCUUCCUUCGGGGAGUGUUAUAGUCUUGGGGAGAUCUACUUGCUGGGACUGAGGACUGCGCUUCGGCAAGGAUAUUGGCGUAAUGACCUUAAGCCGC